GAUGAACGCUGGCGGCGUGCCUAAUACAUGCAAGUCGAGCGAACAGACGAGGAGCUUGCUCCUCUGACGUUAGCGGCGGACGGGUGAGUAACACGUGGAUAACCUCCCUAUAAGACUGGGAUAACUUCGGGAAACCGGAGCUAAUACCGGAUAACAUCUUGAACCGCAUGGUUCAACAGUGAAAGACGGUUUUGCUGUCACUUAUAGAUGGAUCCGCGUCGCAUUAGCUAGUUGGUAAGGUAACGGCUUACCAAGGCAACGAUGCGUAGCCGACCUGAGAGGGUGAUCGGCCACACUGGAACUGAGACACGGUCCAGACUCCUACGGGAGGCAGCAGUAGGGAAUCUUCCGCAAUGGGCGAAAGCCUGACGGAGCAACGCCGCGUGAGUGAAGAAGGUCUUCGGAUCGUAAAACUCUGUUAUUAGGGAAGAACAAAUGUGUAAGUAACUAUGCACGUCUUGACGGUACCUAAUCAGAAAGCCACGGCUAACUACGUG
rnacentral:rRNA from 1 species